UACGUAGGGUGCGAGCGUUAAUCGGAAUUACUGGGCGUAAAGCGUGCGCAGGCGGUUUUGUAAGUCUGUCGUGAAAUCCCCCGGGCUCAACCUGGGAAUUGCGAUGGAGACUGCAAGGCUAGAAUCUGGCAGAGGGGGGGUAGAAUUCCACGUGUAGCAGUGAAAUGCGCAGAUAUCGGGAGGAACACCUAUGGCGAAGGCAGCUCGCUGGGACGUUACUGACGCUGAGGUGCGAAAGCGUGGGGAGCAAACGGG
rnacentral:rRNA from 1 species